GCCUGGGUGGCUCAGUUGGUUGAGCGUCUGACUCUUGAUUUUGUUUCAGGUCAUGGUCUGAGGGUCAUGAGAUCGAGCCCCAUGUCAGGCU
rnacentral:tRNA from 1 species